UGGGGAAUAUUGCACAAUGGGGGAAACCCUGAUGCAGCGACGCCGCGUGGAGGAAGAAGGUCUUCGGAUUGUAAACUCCUGUUGUUGAGGAAGAUAAUGACGGUACUCAACAAGGAAGUGACGGCUAACUACGUGCCAGCAGCCGCGGUAAAACGUAGGUCACAAGCGUUGUCCGGAAUUACUGGGUGUAAAGGGAGCGCAGGCGGGAAGACAAGUUGGAAGUGAAAUCUAUGGGCUCAACCCAUAAACUGCUUUCAAAACUGUUUUUCUUGAGUAGUGCAGAGGUAGGCGGAAUUCCCGGUGUAGCGGUGGAAUGCGUAGAUAUCGGGAGGAACACCAGUGGCGAAGGCGGCCUACUGGGCACCAACUGACGCUGAGGCUCGAAAGUGUGGGUAGCAAACAGGAUUAGAUACCCUGGUAGUCCACACCGUAAACGAUGAUUACUAGGUGUUGGAGGAUUGACCCCUUCAGUGCCGCAGUUAACACAAUAAGUAAUCCACCUGGGGAGUACGACCGCAAGGUUGAAACUCAAAGGAAUUGACGGGGGCCCGCACAAGCAGUGGAGUAUGUGGUUUAAUUCGACGCAACGCGAAGAACCUUACCAAGUCUUGACAUCCUGCGACGAUGCUGGAAACAGUAUUUUCCUUCGGGACGCAGAGACAGGUGGUGCAUGGUUGUCGUCAGCUCGUGUCGUGAGAUGUUGGGUUAAGUCCCGCAACGAGCGCAACCCUUACUGUCAGUUACUACGCAAGAGGACUCUGGCAGGACUGCCGUUGACAAAACGGAGGAAGGUGGGGAUGACGUCAAAUCAUCAUGCCCUUUAUGACUUGGGCUACACACGUACUACAAUGGACAUAAACAAAGAGAAGCAAGACCGCGAGGUGGAGCAAAACUCAGAAACAACGUCCCAGUUCGGACUGCAGGCUGCAACUCGCCUGCACGAAGUCGGAAUUGCUAGUAAUCGUGGAUCAGCAUGCUGCGGUGAAUACGUUCCC
rnacentral:rRNA from 1 species